GCCAGAUGCUGAACUAUUUUUGCGAUGUGUUCCUAAUAUGUACUAUGAGUGUAUUGGGGACGCUUCGCAUUCAUGGUUCUGCAUCAGUCAU
rnacentral:pre_miRNA from 14 species